AAUUUGAUCUGAAAUCAGGUGGGAUUACCCGCUGAACUUAAGCAUAUCAGUAAGCGGAGGAAAAAGAAAAUAACAAUGAUUUCCCUAGUAACGGCGAGUGAAGAGGAAAGAGCUCAAAGUUGGAAACUGUUUGGCUUAGCUAAACCGUAUUGUAAACUGUAGAAACAUUUUCCUGGCACACCAGAUUAAUAAGUCCUUUGGAACAAGGCAUCAUGGAGGGUGAGAAUCCCGUCUUUGAUCUGAGUAGUUGUCUUUUGCGAUAUGUUUUCAAAGAGUCGGGUUGUUUGGGAAUGCAGCCUAAAUUGGGUGGUAAAUCUCACCUAAAGCUAAAUAUUUGCGAGAGACCGAUAGCGAACAAGUACCGUGAGGGAAAGAUGAAAAGAACUUUGAAAAGAGAGUUAAACAGUAUGUGAAAUUGUUAAAAGGGAACCGUUUGGAGCCAGACUGGUUUGACUGUAAUCAACCUAGAAUUCGUUUUGGGUGCACUUGCAGUCUAUACCUGCCAACAACAGUUUGAUUUGGAGGACAAAAUUAAUAGGAAUGUAGCCUCUCGAGGUGUUAUAGACUAUUAUCAUACUCUGGAUUGGACUGAGGAACGCAGCGAAUGCCUUUAGGCAAGAUUGCUGGGUGCUUUCGCUAAUAAAUGUUAGAAUUUCUGCUUCGGGUGGUGCUAAUGUUUAAAGGAGGAACACAUCUAGUAUAUUUUUUAUUCGCUUAGGUUGUUGGCUUAAUGACUCUAAAAUGACCCGUCUUGAA
rnacentral:rRNA from 1 species